GAUGAACGCUAGCGGCAGGCUUAAUACAUGCAAGUCGAGGGGCAGCGCGGGUAGCAAUACCUGGCGGCGACCGGCAAACGGGUGCGGAACACGUACGCAACCUUCCCAUAACUGGUGAAUAGCCCUCCGAAAGGAGGAUUAAUACACCGUAACAUAACGAAGAGGCAUCUUUUUGUUAUUAUAGUAGCAAUACGGUUUUGGAUGGGCGUGCGCCUGAUUAGGUAGUUGGCGGGGUAACGGCCCACCAAGCCUGCGAUCAGUAACUGGUGUGAGAGCACGACCAGUCACACGGGCACUGAGACACGGGGCCGACUCCUACGGGAUGCAGCAGUAAGGAAUAUUGGUCAAUGGACGAAAGUCUGAACCAGCCAUGCCGCGUGAAGGAUUAAGGCCCUCUGGGUUGUAAACUUCUUUUAUCUGGGACGAAAAAAGGGCAUUCUUGCUCACUUGACGGUACCAGAGGAAUAAGCACCGGCUAACUCCGUGCCAGCCGCCGCGGUAA
rnacentral:rRNA from 1 species